AACGUAGGUGGCGAGCGUUAUCCGGAUUUAUUGGGCGUAAAGGGUGCGUAGGCGGCGGAGUAAGUUGGGUGUGAAAUCCCGGGGCUUAACCUCGGAAUUGCAUUCAAUACUGCUUCGCUUGAGUACUGGAGAGGAGGCUGGAAUUUACGGUGUAGCAGUGAAAUGCGUAGAUAUCGUAAGGAAGGCCGGUGGCGAAAGCGAGCCUCUGGACAGUUACUGACGCUGAUGCACGAAGGCCAGGGGAGCAAACGGG
rnacentral:rRNA from 1 species